UUGCUGUGAUGACAAUCUUAGGACACCUUUGGAUUAACCAUGAAAAAAACAUUUUCUGAGCAAC
rnacentral:snoRNA from 1 species